UCAGCCAAGCUGGUAGUUUUGGAAUACUUGUAGCUGCAACCAUAUGUUGCCUGUCUUUUAUUUUUUAGGUGCUUGUGAGAGAAGGCAGGAUUUUCCCUCCUUCAUUGCAGUUUCUGUGCUUACAGAUUUGCAGACUGAAAGAGCAGCAAACUACAAAUUCAUCUUUAUGUGGCCCUCAUUGGAAGGAGGAGACUCAUGGCCUGUCCCCCAAAAAGGUAAGAACUUUGUGUCCGGAGCAAGGCCCUGAUGGCUGAGGAUCCCACCAGGAGAGGCCUCUGGAGCUGGAUGAGGAGGCACAGCCUCCUUAACAACAUGCAAAUUAAUACAACUUCCUUCAAAUAGGCAGCACAGUAUGUCACAUGUUGAGAAAUAACUAACAGGUGACACAUACAAAAUUUCAAGGGUUUCUAUGAGACCAGAAAAUACAAAU
rnacentral:lncRNA from 1 species